rnacentral:rRNA from 1 species
GUGCCAGCCGCCGCGGUAAAACGUAGGUCCCGAGCGUUGUUCGGAUUCACUGGGUGUAAAGGGCGCGUAGGUGGUUGUCUGUGUCUCAUGUGAAAACUCAGGGCUCAACUCUGAGAUUGCGUGGGAAACUAGGCAGCUAGAGGACGGUAGAGGGGAGUGGAAUUCCCGGUGUAGCGGUAAAAUGCGUAGAUAUCGGGAGGAACACCGGUGGCGAAGGCGGCUCUCUGGGCCGAUCCUGACGCUGAGGCGCGAAAGCUAGGGGAGCGAACCGGAUUAGAUACCCGGGUAGUCCUAGCCGUAAACGAUGGGUGCUAGGUGUUGGGGGGUAAAGACCCUUCAGUGCCGAAGCCAACGCGAUAAGCAUCCCACCUGGGGAGUACGGCCGCAAGGUUGAAACUCAAAUAAAUUGACGG